rnacentral:lncRNA from 1 species
GGGAAAACCACAAUAAUACAUAAGGAAGAAUAAGGAGGGAGAAAAAGUAGGGCUGCAAUUGCUAGGCAGCUACCUUGCUAACUCCGAUGAACCCGCCACCGAGCUCAGAAAUACCUGAAUCUGAACACAAGGUGGAGGGAGUUAUGUGAGUACGCCAACUCAGUAAGUAAUAAAAGUAAAUAAAGUCUGAGCAGCAAGAAAUCACGUAAACCACAUCAUGGAACCACAGAGGAUACCGCAUGUUUCCAAAACAUGAUACAAAUCAAAUCAUCUCGUUCAACUCCCAUUUCGGGGAAAAAUCCUUUGAAAAUGCCUUUCUAACAGUUUUCAGUAGAAGUUUAGUAAACUUUAUAGUGAAAGUGAUAAAAAUCAUAAUCAGCCCCUCGACCAAAAAUAUAAUUCGUAUACAGCCCCUCGGGCAAACAGAAAUUCAUAACCAUUUCGUCACUUAAAGAUAUCAGUGGAAGUAACAAGGCCAAAUCAGUGACUAAAUUCCGAAUACCUUGUAAAAACUUCAGUUUAAAGGAAAGUUGUUUGAAAAAUAUUUGUUUAACAUUUUCAAUAAAAGCUCGGUCUAAAGAUGAGUGAAAUCAGUAAUUAAAUCAACAUAUUCAACAGAAACUCACUUUAAGGAGGAGUAAAACCAGUAAGUUCAUAAAUAGGCCCCUCAGGCAAAGCAUCACUCGUAUACAUGUUUAUAUAUAGCCCAUCGAGCAAGCCUCUCAGUCACUAAUGACUCAACUUGUAUCAAUCAACGCUCACACUCAACACUCAUGCUCAAUAGGUACCAUAUAAUAACUGCUGCGGCAUGUAGCCCAAUCCAUAUAUCGUUGCGGCAUGCAACCCGAUCCAUAUAUAUAGUUGACUGCGCUCACUGGGGGUGUGCAGAUGUAAUGACCCAAUUGAUCAUUUUGAGAAAUUGCAUCCGGUUCAGCAGUUUGAGGUCACAAGCAGCUUCAUAUUAUGUGUAUUGACUUAUGUGCGCAGUCCGGGCAUGAAACUAGAAAGCUUUUAUGUGAAAAUAUGAAAAUUAUAGUAAUUUCUAGUGUUAAAAUUUGGUUUUUUUGUUUACUUUUGUCAAUUUUUUUGGUAAACGGACUCGGAUAUGUGUUCCAACAAUCCUGGGAGGUCCGCGGUAAAAUAUGAAACUUGGACGUAUGCCCGAAAUUUAAUUCUGAGGUUCCUAGCCUUAAAAAAUAUUUUUUGAAGAAAAAUUAUUGUGCUGGUUUUUAAAGAAAAUAAAUAAAUGAAUUAAUUUUUGAACUCGUUGGUAUCGGACCCAUAUUUUGGUUCCAGAGCCUGGUACAGUUUGUUAUGAUAUUUAAGUCCUAUCUAUGAAAUUUGGUGAGAAUCAGAAUUGAUUUGACGUGAUUUGGACGUCAGGUUGGAGAGUUAGAAAAUCAUGAGUUUUGAGAUUAAAUUCAUAGUUUUUUAUGUUAUUUUGAUGAUUUGAUCGCACGAGUAUGUCCUUAUAAUAUUUUUAGACUUGUGUGCAUGUUUGGUUUGGAGGGUGAGUUUCGGAUAGGUUUAGGCUAUGUUGCACUUGUUUUUGAAUGCUUCAUCGUCGUUUCUUCCAGAAAAAAUGAUACCAUAUUGAGAAAAUGGGAUCCAAAUUCAGUUUUAUUUGAACCAUUAGAUCCGUAUUGAAGUUUUGGAGCCAUAGAAAAAAGAAUUAUCGAAUUUGGACAUCGUAUGAGGAAGUUUUGCUCAUUUUCGUGUCGGAAACAUUGUUGGUUUCGGUGUGUUCGCAAAUGCGACUUCUGUCAGCCCUGCUUUGUUCGUAAUUUUCAAGGGUUCGCAAUUGCGAACCCUGGGUCGCAAUUGUGAACCCUGGGUCGCAAUUGCGAAACCUGGGUCGCAAAUGCGACAUUUGAGGCCUGUUAAGUGAGGUUUUUGACGGGAUUUUCACCCAUUUUUCAAUUUUCUCAAACCCUAAACCUCCAUAGGCGAUUUUUCAAAGACCCAAACUUCUCCAAAUCAUUGGGUAAGUAUUUCUAAUCAAUCUCCAACUAUAUUUUGUGAUUAUAUCUUAGAUUUAACAUCAAAUUCAUGAGAAUCUAAAGGAAAAUUUGGGAAAAAUUAUGAAAUCUUUCAAAAAUAUAAAAUGAUGAUUUGAAUGACCAAAUUGUAUCGGAAUUAGAUAAUUUUUGUAUGGGUGAACUCGUAUUGGAAUGGGUAUUCGGUUUUUGGAAAUUUUAUCGGGAUCCAAGGUGCGGGCCCAGGGAGUUGACUUUUUUGCAAAUUGUAUAGGAAUCAUAAUUUUGUUAAUUGAAAUUGUUUUCUCUUGCAUCAUUAGAUGUAUUCAAGUAAUUUUUGGUUAGAUAUGAGCCUUCCAGAGGUCUUUUAACCCGAGAUGUGCAUUUUAGAGUAUCGGUUUGUCGUCUUUGAGGUAAGUAUAUUGCCUAACCUUGUGUGGGGGACUUUCCCUUAGGAAUUGAGUCUUCUAUGCUAAUUGUAGUCCGUGCAUGCGAGGUGACUAGUGUGUGCUCGAACUUAUUUGUGGAAAAUUUUCCUCUAGGGUUCUUAGGUCCUUAGGUGGAAAGUAUCCCGUUAUGAUUGGGUUUCCUAAUUACUUAAAUUGCCUCUAUAUGCUCCAUAUGGCAUUGCUAGCUUUCUUCUAAUUCUUACAUGUUACCUUGACCCUUAAUUGCCUUAAUUGAAGUGAUUGCCUUCCUUAUUGUUUUGAUACUUUUUGAUUGUGAGUUCCUCUAUGACUUCGUGCAAAUAUGUUACAUGUUCAAUUGUUGUGGUUACGAGUGUAGUUAUCACGUGCUUAUUAUGAUUUGUUGCUUUGUUAAGGUUAUCAUGCUUCUUGGUUUUUCCAUGACCCUUAUUAUGUACUUGUUGAUUCUCUUGUCAGGACGUUAUUGCUUAUAAUAUUGUUUCCCUUGCCGGGAUAUUGUUGUUAUACUAUUGUUCCCUUACCGGGAUUAUUGCUUAUGAUAUUGUUUCCCUUACCGGGAUAUUAUUGUUAUACUAUUGUUUCCUUGCCGGGAUGUUGUUGUUUACAAUCUUGUCUCCCUUGUCGGGAUGUUGUUGUUAUACUCUUGUUUCCUUACUGGAAUUCUUUUAUGAUUUAUGUUGAAUUGUAAAUGGGAUCGGGGAGCACACUGCCACAGUGAUAUUUGAAAUGGGUGCGGGUUGCAUGCCUGCAACAAGAUAUAUGAAAUGGGAGCGGGUUGCAUGUCUGCAACAAGAUAUAUGAAAUGGGAUCGGGUUGUACGCCUGCAACAAGAUAUAUGAAAUGGGAUCUGGUGGCACGCCGCCACGGUGAUAUAUAAAAUGGGAUCGAGUGGCACGCCGCCACGACAAUAUUUGAAAUGGGAUCGGGUUGCACGCCUGCAACAAGAAAGAAUAAAAGUGAAUAUUGACUCUUAUGGUGACAACGAGAGUAAAAGCACGAAGGGUGAUGCCGUGCACUUUCUGUUUAUUAUGCUUGUUUGUUGUUACUAAUUCAAGUGUUUUAACUGUUCGGAUUCCUUUACCGCUGUGAUCCUUUGUGAAGGAACCCUAUUGUGUUUUCAAUACUUCGCUGUAUUUAUACACAUAUUUUUCAAUACUUUAAAAUGUCAAUAAUUAUUUCAUCUUCAAUUCAUUUAGUUACUCAAUUAAAUUUUCUUAAACCGUCUGAGAUUGUAUUUUACUUAAAAAUAGAAUUUCUACUACGUUAAUUUAUUAAAUUCCUUGUUAAAGGUAAUAAUUCAUUCGAUGUUUUACUUUAAUUGAAAAUGGUACUUUCUCUAUUCAAAUGAUUUCUAAAAAUAACUUCAUCUUUUCUUGCUGAGUUCCUAAUUAGUUUAGAAGCUGUACUCUACUUUAUGCUAUGUAAAUCAGACUCCUUGAACAUCUUAAUUGCAUUAGUUAUGGACCCUAUGAACUGAGUAACAUGAGAACGUUGUUGUGUAAAGUGAGAUAGAAAUAUGUGGGCACAAGGUGCCGGGUUGUGCUAAAAGUUUGGUAAUUGAGGUUCUGAUAUAAGACAUUGAGUUAGAAAUGGCUAGAAAUUUUGCAUCGGAAACGAUAUGAUUUAUUGAGCUGACAUCGCCUUCCUUGUUUGAGUACAUUUUUACUUGUUUGUGUUCCAACUAUAUUGGUGUUAAUUUAUUUAGUUAUCUUUCGAUUCCACCCGUGUUUCUCUUUAUUUUUUCUACUGAUUGUAGUUUGUUCUUUCCCUGCUAUUGAUAUUACUAUGCCAUUUCUAGGUUGAUAGUUUAUUAUCAAAUCCUGUACAAUUUAUUUGACCAGUAGGUGUGUGGACUGUUCCUCGUCACUACCCUACCGAGGUUAGUCUUGAUACUUACUGGGCACUGCCGUGAUGUGCUCAUACUACACUUCUGUACAUUUUUGUAUACAGAUCCAGGUAUUUGAUCGGUAGUAGUUGUGCGGGUCCUUGCAGUGGAGACUCAAGGUAAACCUGCUAUAGCGUUCGCAGGCCUCAGAGUCACCUUCAUUUGUACUUAUUUCCAUUUGUUCCUUUUGUUUCGGAGCAGUGAUGUAUUUAUUUUGUAUAACUACUCUUAGAAAGGCUUGUGACUUGUACCAUCGAUUUUGGAAAUUGUAAAUUGUUAAGAGUUAUUUAAAUUAAAGUUAGCAAAUAUAAAUGUUAUCUCAAUUAAUGUUAGGCUUACCUAGUUUAGAGACUAGGUGCCAUCACGACUCCUUCAGAGAGAUUUUUAGGUCGUGACAGCAGACUCCGGAGGGGCUCCUACAGCCCAAGCGCUAUAUCGUUGUGGCGUACAGCCCAAUCCAUAUACGUAUAUAUAUAUAUAUAUUGCUGCGGCGUGCAGCCCGAUCCAUAAAUAUAAAAUCCUCGCGACCAGGACCUCGGCCUCUCUCAGUCACUAACCUCACAAUCUGACCCUCGGUUGAUCUCACUCAUCAAUCUCACAAUCAGGCCUUCGGCCUCUCUCUGCCAUCAACCUCACAAGUCACUCGGACUAUCAGUAAAAUAAGGUGUUAAGCUCAAGUAUCAUUUAUAGUGCCAAAAUUUAGUAAAUAAGGCUGAGUUAGGAAAUUACAAAAUGCAGCAUGACUGAGUCCAAAUAUUAAGUCAAAACAGUAAGGAAAAGUAGUAAAAGUCCCAUAAGGAUCCAAAACAGUUGGCACGAGGCCCAAACAUAGCAUUUAACCCAAAACAUGAUGAUACAAAUAGUUUUCAAUCAAAUACGCAGUUAAGCAGUCAUACGGGACAGACUAAGUCAUAAUUCCCAAUGGUGUAUGACCCCAUGCUCGUCAUCUAGCAUGUGCAUCACCUCAAAAUAGCACAACGAUGUGAAAUCCGGGGUUUCAAACCUUUAAGACAAUAUUUACAACCAUUACUUACCUCUAUCCGGUCCAAACUCUAGCCCACGAUACCUUUGCCUCCCGAAUCAGUCUCCAAUUGCUCCGAAUCUAACCAAAAUCAGUUCCACAUCAUUAAUACACGCUAAAGGAACAAAGCCCAAGCGAAAAUAAUCGAAUUAACUCAAAAAUCCCGAAAUUGGCCAAACCGGCCCCUGGGACCACUUCUCGGAAUCCAAUAAAAAUCAUAUCAAUAGAAUCCUCAUCCUCUCACGAGUCUAAACAUACUAAGAACAUCAAAAUCGGACCUCAAAUAACCCCUCAAAUCCCAAAUUCCACUCUCCAAUGUUUCUUCAAAUUUUCAUCCCAAUUUCCCAAAUUAAAUGACAAAAAUUAAGACAAAAUCAUGGUAUUAAAUCAAAUUUGGGUGAAGAAUACUUACCCCAAUCCAUUCUCUGAAAAUCCCCUUCAAAAUCGUCUUCUCCCGAGCUCCAUAACUCCGAAAUGCAAAAAUGGCCGAAAUCCUCAAAAUAGAGUACUUUAUAAAGCUGCCCAGGCCUCAUCUUUAGCGAACGCGGGACGACCAUUGCGUCCGCGAUGAAGAAAAAAUACCAGCUCCCAAAAUGCUCUACACGUUCGCGACACAAGCCACACGAACGCAAUACCUACUGGGUACAUAACUACGCGAACACGACAUCCAAAGCGCGAACCUGAAGAACACAACAUCACAACAUCGCGAACGUGACACCCAAAGCACGAACACCCUUCGCGAACGGUAGUCCCUGACCGCAAACGCGAAGAACAAAUCGUCUGCAACAAAAACUAGCAAAAACUGCCAAGUCCAAAGUUCAAAAUUGAUCCGUUUACCAUCCGAAACUCACCCGAGGCCCUCGGGACCUCAACCAAACAUGCCAACAUAUCCCAUAUCGUCAUUCAAACUUGUUCCAACUUUCGGAACGCUCAAAACAGCAUCAAAACAUCAAAUCAUCAUCGGAUCCAAGCCUAAGAAUCCCAAAAACUUCCGAAUUCCGAAUUCGAUCAAAAAGUCUAUCAAAUGAUACCAUGGACCUAUUCCAACUUCCGGAAUUCCAUUCUGACCCCGAUAUCAAAUCUCGCCUAUCAACCGGAAAACGCCAAAAUCCCAAUUUCGCCAAUUCGAGCCUAAACCUUCCGCGGACCUCCAAAAUACAUUCCGAUCAUGCUCCUAAGUCCCAAAUCACCUAACGGAGCUAACCAAAUCAUAAAAAUUCUAAUCCGGGAUCAUACACUAACAAGUCAAACCUUGGUCAAACCUUUCAAAUUUUAAGCUUCAAACUGAGAGUUGUUCUUCCAGAUUCAUUCCGAUUACCCUGAAAACCAAAACCGAUGAUUACAUAAGUCAUAAUACAUCACACGGGGCUAAUCUUACCCGAGAACUGACGAGCAGAAAAUAAAAGUUCAAAACGAUCGGUCAGGUCGUUACAAUUACUACUUAUAUAAAGGUAGAAACUAAUAACUUACAUUAGGAAGAAGAGUUAUGGUACGACAGGAUCACCAUUCUCCUCCCACGACAUAAAUUUAAUAUUGAAUCGUAUUCGCCUCAUUUACUAUCUGCAAAUCACUGAGAACAUAUUUCUACUCAAUCCAGGCUUAUUCAUAAUUUCAAAUAAAUUUAUUUGAAACAGCCUCUGCAUAUUAAUUGCAAACCAAUUAUUAUUCUAGUCAUAUUAAAGAAGUACCACUGCUGAAAGAAAUUGUUGAUCAAGCGUGUACAACAGAAAAGGAUCAAAACUUCAGAGUUUGCAUAGAACAAUUCAUCAGUUAAAGCCUCAUUAAGCUCUCAUAUACAUUCAAAUCCGACUGUCAAAAAAAUUAUCACACAAUAAAAACCAAACAACUGAAGAAAUAUCAGAACUAACAAUUUCAUCAAUCAAGCAAGUAAAACUACAAAGGUCAGCACCAACCAUUAAAUAUUGCAAUAACAUUUUCAAAACUUACAAAAAAUAAUUUUAUAAAAAACUUAAAUUUUCACAUUGUUGCAUAAAACUUUUUAUGUCAAGAUCAGCACAACGUUUCUUAAAUUAACCACAAUCAUGCGAAACCAAAAACUUACUUCAUAAGGUAUGAAAAUAUUUUAGAAUCUUAGUACAAAACCAACAAUAGCAAAAUAGUUAAUUUGAAAUUAUAAAAAUUACUCAAUAGAUAUGAACCUCAUCGCGACUGUUAUCGAUUAUUUCUUUCAUCCAUAAAAUCUCCAAAAAUGACACAUGUUAGUAUUCACAAAUUACUUGACUUCAUGGGGUUGAUCUUCACUUUGGGGCUAGCAGACGUGACUAUCUCAUCAUGAGUAGAUGUUUUGAACACAAGAACCUUCAUGUUAGUAGCCUUAUUGAAGAAACUUUCAAGAAUAUUGAAUGUCUUCUUUGUUGAUCAUUCUUAAAGGAGAAGCGAAGACUUAAGGCAUUACCUCAUUAUAGGGAAACCACCGAUCACCAGAGAAUUGACUUUCGGUUGAAUAACUUUGGCAUUGGAUCCUUUUUAUCAUCCGCAAUUUCAUGAUAUGGAUUUGGAAUUUCCUAAUAUUUCAAGUGCAUCAUGGUAGCUUGAUAUUGAACUCAAAUUGUAAAUCUAUAGAAGUGCAAGCGAAAGAAAAUGAAAGCGUUAAAAUAAAAAAUACUAUAUAUCAAAAAGAGACGAUGCACCAGCAAAAUAUAAUUUUUGCUGUGAGAAAGCGCAAAGUUGUUAAAAGCACAACGACAAAAAUCAAAAUUGAGCUCAAAAAAAUAUCUGUAUAAAUUUAUAGAGAAUCUUAACCUAAUUUUUGUAUAUAUUGUAGCUCCACAAGUUCUAUUUCCAACGGCACAAACAGAUCAUAGUUUUGACGUGUUUGCAGAAAGAUAUGAUUUUUUUAGUGAGGACGCGUAAAGAUAUGAAAAUCAGAAUACCAAUAUUUUUGAAAUAGAUUCAAAAGUAUAUAUUUAUAAAUAUACAAAGAAUCUGGAUUUGUUUUCUGUAUAUGUUUUAGUUCUAGAAGUGCUCUUUUCAAUGGCACAAGCAAAUUAUGAUUUUGAUGCGUCUACAAAGAGAUAUAACUUUUUUCCGUCGAGACGCGUUGUUUCCAAAAAAUUUCAUUGAAUUAUUUGAGGACAGAAGGAUUGGGAAGAAAGGAAGUGCAAAGAACAGAGAAGCGGUGUGUACCUCUUCUGUGACCUAACUUCAUGAGGUUGAUCUAACGAUGUAUCUCCACGCCAAAACUUUUAAAAGAAUUGCUUCUUAAAGUUACACAUGUUCAACAACCAAUAAGAGAAAAUACUUCUGCAGAAAC